CUGGGUUUGUGUGUGCCGCCAUGGCAAGCACCAGACUGGGUGACCAACAAUGAGCUGGUGGGCUCGUGGCCCUGGAGGCCGGGAAGUCCGAGAUCAAGGGGCCACAUCUGACGUGGGCCUUCCUGCUGUGUCUUCUCUUCAGAAGAGCAGGCGUGGGGGUUGCGGCGCCCAGGAAAGCCACUCCUGAAAUAACAGCCUUAGUCAAUUCCUGAGAGGGAGCCCCCUCCGCCCAGUCAUCUCUUAAAGGUCCUGCUUCCUCCUGGCGCGUUGGCGAUGAAGUUUCAGCUUGAGCAUGGGGGGGCGGGCAUGCAGGCCACGAUGCCAGGUCUCUGACCACAGCGCCCGUGAGUCGGGAACCUCCCUGCAGGAGGGUGGGGUCUGCAGGUGGAAUGAGCAGGUUGGCACUUUGCUUCCAGGAGAACAACAUGAUCGUGUAUGUGGAAAAGAAAGUGCUAGAAGACCCUGCCAUCGCCAGCGAUGAAAGCUUUGGGGCAGUGAAGAAGAAAUUCUGUACCUUUCGAGAAGAUUAUGAUGACAUUUCCAAUCAGAUAGACUUCAUCAUCUGCCUGGGGGGAGACGGGACGCUGCUGUACGCUUCCUCGCUUUUCCAGGGCAGCGUCCCUCCGGUCAUGGCCUUCCACCUGGGCUCCCUGGGCUUCCUGACCCCAUUCAGCUUUGAGAACUUUCAGUCCCAAGUUACUCAGGUGAUAGAGGGGAACGCAGCUGUUGUUCUCCGGAGUCGGCUGAAGGUCAGGGUGGUGAAGGAGCUCCGGGGGAAGAAGACAGCCGUGCACAACGGGCUGGGUGAGAAUGGCUCGCAGGCUGCAGGCCUGGACAUGGAUGUCGGGAAGCAGACCAUGCAAUACCAGGUCCUGAAUGAGGUGGUGAUUGACAGAGGCCCCUCCUCCUACCUGUCCAACGUGGAUGUCUACCUGGACGGACACCUCAUCACCACGGUGCAGGGCGACGGUAAGGCCCGCAGCGCUGUCCUGGGGCCCUGAGCGUCCCUCGGGCGGGAGUGACGCCUGCGCCUGUCCCUGUCAGGAGUGAUCGUGUCCACCCCGACGGGCAGCACGGCGUAU
rnacentral:sRNA from 1 species